UUUUCCUUUCUUCAUCCCUGUAAUGUGAAUUAUUUCUUAGUAAAGUUCGUUCUUUAAAUUGAUUGUUUUUCAUUUUUCUGAUUGAUUACAGUUUUGCCUCCUCUUUCGGCUUCAAGAGUUUGAGAUCUGUUGAUCGAUUUCUUGGAUGCUUUGUUCUAGAGGCACAGAUUAAAGUUCAAUGUUGGGAGACUCUUAUAUAAUCUUGAGUUUGAUUUUUCUUCUUUGGAUUUGUCUCUUCCUGGUAUAUUUUGAAACUUAUUUAGGGUUUAUAGACCUGAAAAACCAUUUUAUGUUGUCUUUAGGGUUUAGAUAUGAGAACUGGUAAUAAUGAAAUAAAAGGGGAUUGCAGUGAUGACUCCAUAAAAUUCAAGCUCAACAGACCGGAUUGCAGGUUUUUCUCGGUCGAGAAAAUUAUUUGCGUGUCGAUACACCCGCUGAGCUGAGCAAUCUCUUUUAAUUUAUCAAAUUCUCAGUCCAUUUUUAGGGUUUUAAGAUUUUGAAUCUGAAUGUUUAUAUAUAUUGAUAAUUUGGGGGAAAUUAAAAUAAGAUUGCGAUGAGGAUAACAAGCUCCCUCUUCUGAAUUAAAGCUGAGGACAAUUGCUGGCUGAAUCGAACCUAAUUAUAAUCGCCACUACUGAGUAAUCGAUUUUCCCCUUGUUUUGUUUAUGAUUGAUGAAUGUUUUAAAUUUGUGGAUUGGUGAUUCUCAAUUCAGAUUCUACUGUAAGUAUAAACUGUUAGCCAUUAGGCAACAUUUUUAGAGUCGCUGAUGCGUUUACAUUUCCAUAGCGACAUCAGUGCUGUAUGUUGCCGAUAAUGAACCUUGAGCUGAGAUUUUUGCACUAAUUGCUGUUUAACUAGCGAUUUGACGCAUUGAAGUUCAAACAUAUAUACAAUCUUAUUCAUUAUUAUUCAUUAUAAUUGUUGCUGUAUAUACUAUCCAUUAGCAUAGAUAUUCUUGUAAUAGUUAAGGGAUUACUUGUAUCCCAAUGCCAUUCCUAGACAGGAAGGAGUAAUCUUAACAUUUUUGAGUCGCAUUGUUUUAAAGUAGUGAAAUAAAUGGGGGGAUUGCAGUGAUGACUCCAUAAAAUUCAAGCUCAACAGACCGGAUUGCAGGUUUUUCCCAUUCGAGAAAAUUAUUUGCGUGUCGAUACACCCGCUGAGCUGAGCAAUCUCUUUUAAUUUUAUCAAUUCUCGAUUUUGGGUUUUAAAGAUUUCGAAUUUGAAUGUUUUUAAUUUAUACCGAUUUAUACCGAUAUUUUGGGAAAAUUUUGUAAGUGAAGGAUUGCAAUUAGGAUACAAGCUCCCUCUUCUGAAUUAAGCUGAGGACACUUGCUGGCUGAAUCGAACCUAAUUAUAAUCGCCACUACUGAGUAAUCUCUCUGUAAUCAAUUGUCCCCUUGUUUUAGCCAUAAUAGCUAAUAAUUAUUUAUGAUUAAUGAUUUGAAUCUCUGAAUCUUUGAAACUCAUCCUGAUUGUACUGUCUGGAGUAUAAACUGCUAGUCUGCUAGCCAUAAGGCAACAUUUUUAGAGUCGCUGAUGCGUUUACACUGCAAUAGCGACAUCAGUGCUGUAUGUUGCCGAUAGUGAACCUUUGUGCUGAGAUUUUUGCACUAAUUGCUGUUUAACUAGCGAUUUAACGCAUUGAAGCUCAAACAUACAAGUCUUUAUUCAUGAUAAUUACAAUUGUAUAUUCUGUUUUUAAUAUUUUACAUGAUUAGCAAUUUAGCACAUAUACUUAACCGAUUCUUCAGGUCUCUGUUAAUUGUUUAAGGGGUUACUUUUAUUCUUAGGCCGUAUAUAUGAUACCAGAUAUGAAUCUUCAUGUGUUGCUCUUAGUAUAAUUUAAUUUCAUUAUAAUGUUCUUAUGAUCUCACUCACUAUAAGGUUAAAGGUCUCUUGAGAUUAGCACCCGCGGUGGUGGUUGUUAUCGUGUUUCUGCUGUGUUUGUGAUUUGAGAAGGGUACCUGAGGAUAUAUGUUUAUAAUCAAAUAUUGCAAGUUUCUUUUUUCUUUUUCCUUUUUUGGUCCGAGCCACGUUGACUAUAGUCAAAAAGACAAUGACCGUCAAUGCUAUGAUUGGACCUACACAAAUUUCAUGUUUCGCAUCUUGAUAGGAAUCUGUACACUGAUUUGUCCUUCAUUUACAGAGCCGUUUUGUGUGAUUACAUUUUCUUUUGAAGUUCAUAGUUUUGAAGAUUUAUUGACUGCCUGUGAGGAUCAAAACUUAUUUGGAAUUACGGUCUGAUUUCUUUGAUGUUAACCUUUGGCUGUUUUUCUGAGGCAUUCUAAAUCAAAGUUAAAAGUCUUUUUUGUACUAGGUCUGUUUGUUCUGUACAUUUUAUUUUUGAUGGGGAUGGUAAACGUAGGAAAUUAAGUUCUCGUCGGAGUUCCAUCGUUGUUUGUACAGUCUCAUAUUAGUUCUGUGAUUCUAUGUUUUGUAUUCACCGGCCAUUUCAAUUUUCUUUUCAUCUCUUUUGGGUGUGUUUGACCGAGUUUUUGCUUUUAUUGAUUGUGGAGGUUUUCAUGGGACAAAUGGUUUCUUAGUCACAUGUGUUCGUAUGCUUGUUCUUUUGUAAUAAUAAUAAUAAUAUAUGUGGCAAAUCUUAUGAUUAUUCAAUAUUAAUUUGUCUUUUGACGGGGGAGGUUUUGGCAAAAAUCUCUCUUUCACUGAUUGGAGCAAACCAGUUAUGUUUGUAAAAUCCUCCGUAAACGUCACACACAAAGCCUGAUAUGUUGACGGUUGAAAAAUCUCCAUUUCGGGCGGUCUCAUAUUCCAUUGCCUUGGGGAGCUGCGUUGUGGCCAUUACCUCUUGGGACUGGCCAUGAGACAUAUAUUUCUUUUCGUGUUGAUCUUCGUAACAAAUAGUGAUCUUGAUUUAUGUUUUGCUACUGAGCCUAUGAGGAUAUCUGAUUUAAAGAACACCAUCUUUCGGGACUGAAUGGCUUAACGCCUUGGUGACAAAUUCUGCAAUUCUGAGGCUUAUAAAUUUUGUUGCUGGGAGUCCAAGUUCAUCGCAAGGAUAUCAAGGGAAGCAAGCUAAACAUGUAGGCUUGCACUGGAAGAAGCUCUGAUUUGGGCUGAGGAUGUAGGCCUACACAAGGUUGAGCUGGAAGGAGAAAACCACUUUCAUCUGAGGAAAGAAGGGAAAGAAGACCAGCGUUCACUGGCACUCGUUUUCCAGUCAUAUCUAAGGAAUGAAGACCAGUGACGUAUGUUGCCGAUAAUGAACUUUGAGCUGAGAUUUUUGCACUAAUUGCUGUUCAACUAGGGAUUUAACGCAUUGAGGCUCAAACAUACAAGUCCUUGUGAUAACAAUUGUAUAUACUAUCUAUUGCAUUCUACAUGUUUCUCAUCAUGGUAUAAGGGAUUACUUGUAUUCUUAGGCCUGAUAAUAAUGUGUUAGAUUUGAGAAAUAAUGAAACAAAAGUGGAUUUCUGUGAUGA